UACGUAGGGGGCAAGCGUUGUCCGUAUUUAUUGGGCGUAAAGAGCGUGUAGGCGUCCAGAUAUGUCAGCUGUGAAAACUCGAGGCUCAACCUCGAGACGUCGGUUGAAACCGUAAGGCUAGAGUCCGGAAGAGGAGAGUGGAAUUCCCGGUGUAGCGGUGAAAUGCGCAGAUAUCGGGAAGAACACCCGUGGCGAAGGCGGCUCUCUGGGACGGUACUGACGCUGAGACGCGAAAGCGUGGGGAGCGAACAGG
rnacentral:rRNA from 1 species